CUACGGGGGGCUGCAGUGAGGAAUAUUGCACAAUGGGGGGAACCCUGAUGCAGCAAUGCCGCGUGGAGGAUGACGCAUUUCGGUGUGUAAACUCCUUUUAUAUGUCAAGAAAAUGACGGUAGCAUAUGAAUAAGCGCCGGCUAACUCCGUGCCAGCAGCCGCGGUAAUACGGAGGGCGCAAGCGUUACUCGGAAUCACUGGGCGUAAAGGACGCGUAGGCGGGUUGAAAAGUCAGGUGUGAAAGCCUACAGCUUAACUGUAGAACUGCACUUGGAACUCUCAACCUAGAGUAUGGGAGGGGCAGAUGGAAUUAGUGGUGUAGGGGUAAAAUCCGUAGAUAUCACUAGGAAUACCUAAAGCGAAGGCGAUCUGCUGGAACAUUACUGACGCUAAGGCGUGAAAGCGUGGGGAGCAAACAGGAUUAGAUACCCCCGUAGUC
rnacentral:rRNA from 1 species